UCCCCUGUCUGGUAGGGGAGAUACCAUGAUCAUGAAGGGGGUAUUACAAGGGCAAGGUUUAUCCAUUGCACUAUGCCUGCAGUUUCCCCAAACAUGAGAAAUGGGACUACCUAGUAUGUGGUAGUGAGGACUGGGUUCAUGCUUUCCCCC
rnacentral:snRNA from 1 species